AUUGAACGCUGGCGGCAGGCCUAACACAUGCAAGUCGAGCGAGCGGCGGACGGGUGAGUAAUGUCUGGGAAACUGCCUGAUGGAGGGGGAUAACUACUGGAAACGGUAGCUAAUACCGCAUACAAUCGAUUUGCCCCGGAUGGGAUUAGCUGGUAGGUGGGGUAAUGGCUCACCUAGCCGACGAUCCCUAGCUGGUCUGAGAGGACGACCAGCCACACUGGAACUGAGACACGGUCCAGACUCCUACGGGAGGCAGCAGUGGGGAAUAUUGCACAAUGGGCGCAAGCCUGAUGCAGCCAUGCCGCGUGUGUGAAGAAGGCCUUCGGGUUGUAAAGCACUUUCAGCGGGGAGGCGUUACCCGCAGAAGAAGCACCGGCUAACUCCGUGCCAGCAGCCGCGGUAAUAC
rnacentral:rRNA from 1 species